rnacentral:lncRNA from 1 species
GAAAGACUUAGCAGGUUGCGCUCAAUCGCAAGAGACCAGGAAAAGUAUUCCAACCGUGUAUGCAAUAGAGGGAAGAACCAUAAAUCUGUGCCGGUCAGCGGCAAUGACCAUCACUUUCUGAACAAGUGUGACCUGAUGAUGCAGUCACCAGUCUUGUCUCAGGCAGAGGACUGGAACUAACACAAGUGAGGCCAGAAGUGGACUGAGAACACAGGCAAUAAGAUGGGGACUUGAGACUGGCUCAUCGACUGUGCAGAGGAUGAAGGAAAUACCCUCCUGGUUGGCAAGUAAGCAGGGAUAGUCUCCGUCACAAGUGUUCUGAGAAGGAGUUCAUUGACUUCACCAGAUGCCAAAGGCGUCAAUGGCAUACAAAAAGAAGGUUAGGACCCAGGUUGGGUUGACUCAGUUUCCC